rnacentral:lncRNA from 1 species
AGGGAAGAAAAAAAUGAACAUAGUCACACUAACUGAAUUUAUUUGCAACUUCCACCUUGACUACAGUUUUAUGGUUUAGAUCGACCUUAAAAUUUCCCUUUCCUAGUACAAAUGUUGUAGAGCCGUCUUAUAUAGCUUAAAAAAAAAAAAACAUAUUUUCUUCAUCAGAAGCUUAUAUAUGCUCAUAUGAUCCAAAGAUUAUAGACAUUACAUCUUUGAAUUGUACAUGACGCAAUUGUUCUUCUAACUCCCCUUUCACAACUAAAUUUAAGAAAAUUAUCAGUUUUUUUAGUCAUGGGUAAAGAAGAAACUGAAGGGUCAGUUUCCUUAGUUAUGGAUUCAUUUUUUUUUCCUUCUUCUCAUCUUCCAUGUAUGUGAUUUAUGUUAGUGAGCUAAUAAUCUGAUUUUGCAGGAAGAAGAGAAACAUAUUAUUGAAUGUAUAACCGAAGCCUCUAGAUAGGAAGUAGGUUCUGAUUUGCAAAUUUGGUUAAAAGUCAGAUAUCAUGUGCCUAUCAAUGCUAGUGGAUUUUCAUGGGGUGGAAGGGUUUACUAUUAACUACUAAGAAACAAAACUAUAAUCAAAUAUUCAGCUAAUUGGUGACAAGGACAUGGUCGGUCAUAUCUCUUUACAAUGAUCACACGCU